AAAAAAUAUCUGUGGUAACCUUACUUGAAAAGACUGUCAUGUUUUCUUCUACAACGUAAAUUACACGGUCAAACCUCAAAUGCCUUGUUGCUAUGGGAGUAAUUACCGGUCAAGUCUGACUCAGUCCAGAGCUCAAAUGAAUGAGGAGGCAGAUCUGACUUGGCUUGACCUGUGCACAGCCCCAUCUAAGGUAAGAACGUCUGCUUGCCCCAGUUAGCUGAAGAACACAGAGCGACACAAGAGGAAUAUUUCAGAUUGUUUACAGAGCUUUGGCCUCAGCUGCGGAUAGAGUGGAUGUUUCCUUUGACUGUAAAUGAUCUUUGUCAAGGCUUGAAUGAAAUCUCUCUCUUGGACAUUCUUACAUUACGGCUGCUUUAGUAAUCGACAUCUGAACUGUUGUUCUACAUUUCUAUCAUAUGUUAGAGCAGAAACUGGAUUUUUGUAAUGUCGAGUCAUUUUUACACUGAAUUUGAGCAAACAUUUGUGAUUUCAUGGGUUCCAGUGACCACCCGAGCAUUUGGUCCUCAUUAUCUACAGUUCAGAGAUAUGAGGUCAUUCCUCUCUAAAAAUUAAGAGUGUGCAGGAGGGAUUUCAUUACCACAUCCGAGCUGGAGGAGGACAAAGCAACAGCGCUCCCGUGAGACACUGUGGAUGCAUGUGAAGGUGUUUGUCGCCCUCUUGAGUUUUCAAAUAGGCUGCUUUGAUUUGAGGCGAUCCCAGUGAGAACAAUCAUACAAUCAUACACUGUAGAAAUGAUUUUGACAGCUUGUACAUCAGGGUUCCUCAAAUCUUACCCUGGGGGGCCAAUGCACUGCAGUGUUUAGCUCCAACCCUGAUCAAACUCACCUACCUGUAAUUUUCUAAUGAUCCUGAAGACAUUGAUUAGCAUGCUCAGGUGUGUUUGAUUAGGGUUACAGCUAAACUCUGCAGGAAAGUGGAUCUCGUGGGCCAGAUCUGAGGAUCCCUGUUGUUGAUGUUGUAUUCGUACUAAAACGAUGAUUACUCUAGUUUAUUUUUGUUAUGUGCAACUGUAAAGUUAACAUAUCUUUACAAGCUAAAGUUCACUGACCAAGUAAAAUAACUUACAGCUUAGUUUAUUUUCCACACGAUACAGCACUAGUUUAAGUUUCUUCAAACAUACAAAAAGUAGCAUACGACGGUACCACAAGGUACUGAAGGACUGCAAUAUUAAUGUACUAAUGUAUUGACAAGGAAAA
ensembl:lncRNA